UCCCGCGUAAUUUAAGCAUAUUAAUAAGCGGAGGAAAAGAAACUAACUAGGAUUCCCUUAGUAGCUGCGAGCGAACAGGGAAGAGCCCAGCACUGAAUCCUGCGCGCCCAGCGCGCGUCUGGAAAUGUAGUGUUUGGGAGGGGCCGAUCAUCUCGUGAGAGCGCACCAGUCCAAGUCCAUCUUGAAAGCGGCCACAGCCCGUAGAGGGUGCCAGGCCCGUAGGACGGUGUGUGUGACUCGAACGAAAGGUCCUCUNNNNNNNNNNNNNNNNNNNNNNNNNNNNNNNNNNNNNNNNNNNNNNNNNNCGCGACCCGUUGGGCGCGCGUCCAAGGCCCGCGCACGGAGCCGACCUCGGCGUCUGCGGUCGCGUCGUCCUCACGGACGGCCGGCGGCAGCGUCUGGUCGACGGUGCGGUGUCCCGACGCGCCCGCCCGACGGUAGCCAAACGACUCGCAAGGCAGUCGCCCGUCGUCCGCCGCGUUAAAAACGGCGGGCGGCACGGCGGCCGGCCCUUAACUGGGCACGCGUGUCGUGUCCGCGGCGCUCUAUCUAGAGCAUCAUCCGACCCGUCUUGAAACACGGACCAAGGAGUCUAACAUGUGCGCGAGUCAUUGGGACCGUACUAAACCUAGAGGCGUAAUGAAAGUGAAUGUCGGCCGCCUCGGCGGUCGGCAGAGGGGAGAUGGCGGCCGGCCCAGCGUCGCGCCGCCCGCAUCCCCGGGGCGUCUCGUUGUCAUUGCGACACAGCAGGCGCACCCAGAGCGUACACGUUGGGACCCGAAAGAUGGUGAACUAUGCCUGGUCAGGUCGAAGUCAGGGGAAACCUGGCACUCGGAGCAAAUGCACGGAGCGUCGGCGGGCGGCGCGGCUCUGCCGCUGACCGCCCGUCGGUCGCGAACACCAGUCUCAUCUGGUAAAGCGAAUGAUUAGAGGCCUUGGGGCCGAAACGACCUCAACCUAUUCUCAAACUUUAAAUGGGUGAGACAUUCGACUUGCUUAAAUGCCAUGUCGUUGAAGUCGAACCACACAAUUGUGAGCGGAUGAAAGAGUGCCAAGUGGGCCAAUUUUGGUAAGCAGAACUGGUGCUGUGGGAUGAACCAAACGUCGCGUUAAGGCGCCUAAAUCGAUGCUCAUGGGAUACCAUGAAAGGCGUUGGUUGCUUAAGACACGAUGUUGAUGUGCUGUCGUUUCACUAAUGAAUUUUUCGCACCAUGUUCCGCCCGUCUGUUUUUUUAGUUAAAAACUGCACCGUGAUAGAACGCGCGCGUUAAACGAAAAACUGAUUGACCACAUCGGGCGAAAGGGAAUCCGGUUCCUAUUCCGGAACCCGGCUGCGGAACCGACUCGCGGGCCACUCUGCAGCGAUGCAGAACUCGUCGGGGUAACCCAAAAGGACCCGGAGACGCCGUCGGAUGAUCGAGGCAGAGUUUUCUGUUCUGUAUGAGCGUUCGAGUUCCCUGGAAUCGCCUAGCGCGGAGAUAGGGUUUGGAACGCGAAGAGCACCGCACUUGCGGCGGUGUCUCGAUCUAUCCCUCGGACCUUGA
rnacentral:rRNA from 1 species